UACGUAGGGAGCUAGCGUUGUUCGGAAUCACUGGGCGUAAAGCGCACGUAGGCGGAUGUGUCAGUCAGGGGUGAAAUCCCGGAGCUCAACUUCGGAACUGCCUUUGAUACAGCACAUCUGGAGUCCGGAAGAGGUGGGUGGAAUUCCUAGUGUAGAGGUGAAAUUCGUAGAUAUUCGCAAGAACACCAGUGGCGAAGGCGGCUCACUGGCCCGGUACUGACGCUGAGGAGCGAAAGCGUGGGGAGCGAACAGG
rnacentral:rRNA from 1 species